rnacentral:rRNA from 1 species
GGGUUGUGAGGUUAAGCGACUAAGCGUACACGGUGGAUGCCCUGGCAGUCAGAGGCGAUGAAGGACGUGCUAAUCUGCGAUAAGCGUCGGUAAGGUGAUAUGAACCGUUAUAACCGGCGAUUUCCGAAUGGGGAAACCCAGUGUGAUUCGUCACACUAUCAUUAACUGAAUCCAUAGGUUAAUGAGGCGAACCGGGGGAACUGAAACAUCUAAGUACCCCGAGGAAAAGAAAUCAACCGAGAUUCCCCCAGUAGCGGCGAGCGAACGGGGAGCAGCCCAGAGCCUGAAUCAGUGUGUGUGUUAGUGGAAGCGUCUGGAAAGGCGCGCGAUACAGGGUGACAGCCCCGUACACAAAAAUGCACAUGCUGUGAGCUCGAUGAGUAGGGCGGGACACGUGGUAUCCUGUCUGAAUAUGGGGGGACCAUCCUCCAAGGCUAAAUACUCCUGACUGACCGAUAGUGAACCAGUACCGUGAGGGAAAGGCGAAAAGAACCCCGGCGAGGGGAGUGAAAAAGAACCUGAAACCGUGUACGUACAAGCAGUGGGAGCACGCUUAGGCGUGUGACUGCGUACCUUUUGUAUAAUGGGUCAGCGACUUAUAUUCUGUAGCAAGGUUAACCGAAUAGGGGAGCCGAAGGGAAACCGAGUCUUAACUGGGCGUUAAGUUGCAGGGUAUAGACCCGAAACCCGGUGAUCUAGCCAUGGGCAGGUUGAAGGUUGGGUAACACUAACUGGAGGACCGAACCGACUAAUGUUGAAAAAUUAGCGGAUGACUUGUGGCUGGGGGUGAAAGGCCAAUCAAACCGGGAGAUAGCUGGUUCUCCCCGAAAGCUAUUUAGGUAGCGCCUCGUGAAUUCAUCUCCGGGGGUAGAGCACUGUUUCGGCAAGGGGGUCAUCCCGACUUACCAACCCGAUGCAAACUGCGAAUACCGGAGAAUGUUAUCACGGGAGACACACGGCGGGUGCUAACGUCCGUCGUGAAGAGGGAAACAACCCAGACCGCCAGCUAAGGUCCCAAAGUCAUGGUUAAGUGGGAAACGAUGUGGGAAGGCCCAGACAGCCAGGAUGUUGGCUUAGAAGCAGCCAUCAUUUAAAGAAAGCGUAAUAGCUCACUGGUCGAGUCGGCCUGCGCGGAAGAUGUAACGGGGCUAAACCAUGCACCGAAGCUGCGGCAGCGACGCUUAUGCGUUGUUGGGUAGGGGAGCGUUCUGUAAGCCUGUGAAGGUGUACUGUGAGGUAUGCUGGAGGUAUCAGAAGUGCGAAUGCUGACAUAAGUAACGAUAAAGCGGGUGAAAAGCCCGCUCGCCGGAAGACCAAGGGUUCCUGUCCAACGUUAAUCGGGGCAGGGUGAGUCGACCCCUAAGGCGAGGCCGAAAGGCGUAGUCGAUGGGAAACAGGUUAAUAUUCCUGUACUUGGUGUUACUGCGAAGGGGGGACGGAGAAGGCUAUGUUGGCCGGGCGACGGUUGUCCCGGUUUAAGCGUGUAGGCUGGUUUUCCAGGCAAAUCCGGAAAAUCAAGGCUGAGGCGUGAUGACGAGGCACUACGGUGCUGAAGCAACAAAUGCCCUGCUUCCAGGAAAAGCCUCUAAGCAUCAGGUAACAUCAAAUCGUACCCCAAACCGACACAGGUGGUCAGGUAGAGAAUACCAAGGCGCUUGAGAGAACUCGGGUGAAGGAACUAGGCAAAAUGGUGCCGUAACUUCGGGAGAAGGCACGCUGAUAUGUAGGUGAAGUCCCUCGCGGAUGGAGCUGAAAUCAGUCGAAGAUACCAGCUGGCUGCAACUGUUUAUUAAAAACACAGCACUGUGCAAACACGAAAGUGGACGUAUACGGUGUGACGCCUGCCCGGUGCCGGAAGGUUAAUUGAUGGGGUCAGCGCAAGCGAAGCUCUUGAUCGAAGCCCCGGUAAACGGCGGCCGUAACUAUAACGGUCCUAAGGUAGCGAAAUUCCUUGUCGGGUAAGUUCCGACCUGCACGAAUGGCGUAAUGAUGGCCAGGCUGUCUCCACCCGAGACUCAGUGAAAUUGAACUCGCUGUGAAGAUGCAGUGUACCCGCGGCAAGACGGAAAGACCCCGUGAACCUUUACUAUAGCUUGACACUGAACAUUGAGCCUUGAUGUGUAGGAUAGGUGGGAGGCUUUGAAGUGUGGACGCCAGUCUGCAUGGAGCCGACCUUGAAAUACCACCCUUUAAUGUUUGAUGUUCUAACGUGGACCCGUAAUCCGGGUUGCGGACAGUGUCUGGUGGGUAGUUUGACUGGGGCGGUCUCCUCCUAAAGAGUAACGGAGGAGCACGAAGGUUGGCUAAUCCUGGUCGGACAUCAGGAGGUUAGUGCAAUGGCAUAAGCCAGCUUGACUGCGAGCGUGACGGCGCGAGCAGGUGCGAAAGCAGGUCAUAGUGAUCCGGUGGUUCUGAAUGGAAGGGCCAUCGCUCAACGGAUAAAAGGUACUCCGGGGAUAACAGGCUGAUACCGCCCAAGAGUUCAUAUCGACGGCGGUGUUUGGCACCUCGAUGUCGGCUCAUCACAUCCUGGGGCUGAAGUAGGUCCCAAGGGUAUGGCUGUUCGCCAUUUAAAGUGGUACGCGAGCUGGGUUUAGAACGUCGUGAGACAGUUCGGUCCCUAUCUGCCGUGGGCGCUGGAGAACUGAGGGGGGCUGCUCCUAGUACGAGAGGACCGGAGUGGACGCAUCACUGGUGUUCGGGUUGUCAUGCCAAUGGCACUGCCCGGUAGCUAAAUGCGGAAGAGAUAAGUGCUGAAAGCAUCUAAGCACGAAACUUGCCCCGAGAUGAGUUCUCCCUGACUCCUUGAGAGUCCUGAAGGAACGUUGAAGACGACGACGUUGAUAGGCCGGGUGUGUAAGCGCAGCGAUGCGUUGAGCUAACCGGUACUAAUGAACCGUGAGGCUUAACCUUACAACGCCGAAG